rnacentral:rRNA from 1 species
CAGUCGCCGCGGUAAUACGAAGGGUGCUAGCGUUGUUCGGAAUUACUGGGCGUAAAGCGCACGUAGGCGGCUUGGUAAGUUAGAGGUGAAAGCCUGGAGCUCAACUCCAGAAUUGCCUUUAAGACUGCCGAGCUAGCAGGUGAGAGAGGUAAGUGGAAUUCCGAGUGUAGAGGUGAAAUUCGUAGAUAUUCGGAAGAACACCAGUGGCGAAGGCGGCUUACUGGCUCAUACUGGACGCUGAGGUGCGAAAGCGUGGGGAGCAAACAGGAUUAGAUACCCCCGUAGUCCCUGUCUCUUAUAC